ensembl:lncRNA
AUUCUGUCAUGGUCUACGGUGGGUGGCUGGAGUUUCCAUUAGGCUCCUGAACUGACCUGGGAUCCGCCCCUGGGCAGGGCCAACUCCAGCUCCUGCACACCUGGAGCCUAUUGCAGGCUAUCAAGCCAGAGGGAUUUAAACCACACAUCGAUGUUCACUCACUGCCAGUUCGUCAUCAACCCAUUCGCUGUACCCACCCUGGCUCACUCCACCUCCGGACUCGGAAUACCUAGUGAUCAUUUUGGAAAUCCCUCUGUGCCUCACCUGCCUGCCCUCCUGCCAUCACACUCCAUCUGGAGCCCCGGAUCUCAGGUCAGCCUUUCCACGCCACUCAGCCUCCCCUGGAUCUUCAUCAUCCCCCUCUCAAACACUCCAGGUCCCUAACUGCAAAUGUGACUGUUCCCCACUCAGCUCCGUUCCACUUCUCAGGCCUCGUUCCCUCGCCCUAGCCACGUUCCCCUGGGCACGCCACACCAAGGCUCCACGUCUCGUCAUUUUCUGUCUUUGCCACGUUUCCCUUUUUUUUCUGUUCCCCUUGCACUUAACCGUAAUAAACUAUUAAAUCAUCUACCGUCUCCGCUCUGGGUUCCUGCACCUGGGUCCUAUUCAGUACCGGCCAUCCGUCGCCGUGACA